AGCGAACGCUGGCGGCAGGCUUAACACAUGCAAGUCGAGCGGGCAUCCUCGUGGUGUCAGCGGCAGACGGGUGAGUAACGCGUGGGAACGUGCCCUUCGGUUCGGAAUAACUCAGGGAAACUUGAGCUAAUACCGGAUACGCCCUUUUGGGGAAAGGUUUAUCUGCCGAAGGAUCGGCCCGCGUCUGAUUAGCUGGUUGGUGAGGUUACGGCUCACCAAGGCGACGAUCAGUAGCUGGUCUGAGAGGAUGAUCAGCCACACUGGGACUGAGAAACGGCCCAGACUCCUACGGGAGGCAGCAGUGGGGAAUAUUGGACAAUGGGGGCAACCCUGAUCCAGCCAUGCCGCGUGAGUGAUGACGGCCUUAGGGUUGUAAAGCUCUUUUCUCCGGGACGAUAAUGACGGUACCGGAGGAAUAAGCCCCGGCUAACUUCGUGCCAGCCGCCGCCGUAA
rnacentral:rRNA from 1 species